GGGGCUGUAGCUCAAUUGGGAGAGCGCCUGACUGGCAGUCAGGAGGUAGCGGGUUCGAUCCCCGCCAGCUCCA
rnacentral:tRNA from 1 species